GCACACAGGUGCUGCAUGGCUGUCGUCAGCUCGUGUCGUGAGAUGUUGGGUUAAGUCCCGCAACGAGCGCAACCCUUGCCAUUAGUUGCUACAUUCAGUUGAGCACUCUAAUGGGACUGCCGGUGACAAACCGGAGGAAGGUGGGGAUGACGUCAAGUCCUCAUGGCCCUUAUAGGUGGGGCUACACACGUCAUACAAUGGCUGGUACAAAGGGUUGCCAACCCGCGAGGGGGAGCUAAUCCCAUAAAGCCAGUCGUAGUCCGGAUCGCAGUCUGCAACUCGACUGCGUGAAGUCGGAAUCGCUAGUAAUCGUGGAUCAGAAUGUCACGGUGAAUACGUUCCCGGGUCUUGUACACACCGCCCGUCACACCAUGGGAGCGGGUCUCGCCAGAAGUAGGUAGCCUAACCGCAAGGAGGGCGCUUACCACGGCGGGGUUCGUGACUGGGGUGAAGUCGUAACAAGGUAGCCGU
rnacentral:rRNA from 1 species